rnacentral:rRNA from 1 species
UACGUAGGCCAGCAAGCGUUUGUUCGGAGUUACUGGGCGUAAAAGGGUGCGUAGGCGGCCCUGUAAGUAUGGUGUGAAAUCUCCCGGCUUAACUGGGAGGGUGCGCUAUAGACUGCGGGGCUCGGAGUGUGGGAGAGGAAAGUGGAAUUCCUGGUGUAGCGGUGAAAUGCGUAGAUAUCAGGAGGAACACCGGUGGUGUAAACGGCUUUCUGGACCAUAAACUGACGGCUGA